rnacentral:rRNA from 1 species
GAAAAGAAACCAACAGGGAUUGCCCUAGUAACGGCGAGUGAAGCGGCAACAGCUCAAAUUUGAAAGCUGGCUCCGGCCCGCAUUGUAAUUUGCAGAGGAUGCUUUUGGCGAGGUGCCUUCCGAGUUCCCUGGAACGGGACGCCAUAGAGGGUGAGAGCCCCGUAUGGAUGGACACCAAACCUGUGUAAAGCUCCUUCAACGAGUCGAGUAGUUUGGGAAUGCUGCUCUAAAUGGGAGGUAAAUCUCUUCUAAAGCUAAAUACCGGCCAGAGACCGAUAGCGCACAAGUAGAGUGAUCGAAAGAUGAAAAGCACCUUGAAAAGGGGGUUAAACAGUACGUGAAAUUGUUGAAAGGGAAGCAUUUAUGACCAGACUUGCGCCGGGCAGCUCAUCAGGGGUUCUCCCCUGUGCACUCUGCCCGGCUCAGGCCAGCAUCGGUUCUCGUGGGAGGAUAAGAACAGUGGGAACGUGGCCCCCUCUCGGGGGGGUGUUAUAGCCCAUUGUACGAUACUCUCGUGGGGACCGAGGUUCGCGCUCCGCAAGGAUGCUGGCGUAAUGGUCAUCAAUGACCCGUCUUGAAACACGGACCAAGGAGUCGUCCAUUAGAGCGAGCGUUUGGGUGUAAAACCCGCACGCGUAAUGAAAGUGAACGCAGGUGAGAGCUUCGGCGCAUCAUCGACCGAUCCUGAUGUCUUCGGAUGGAUUUGAGUAAGAGUUUUAACGGACGGACCCGAAAGACAGUGAACUAUGCUUGUAUAGGGUGAAGCCAGAGGAAACUCUGGUGGAGGCUCGCAGCGGUUCUGACGUGCAAAUCGAUCGUCAAAUAUGAGCAUGGGGGCGAAAGACUAAUCGAACUGUCUAGUAGCUGGUUACCGCCGAAGUUUCCCUCAGGAUAGCAGUGUUGUUCUUCAGUUUUAUGAGGUAAAGCGAAUGAUUAGGGACUCGGGGGCGCUUAUUAGCCUUCAUCCAUUCUCAAACUUUAAAUAUGUAAGAAGCCCUUGUUACUUAAUUGAACGUGGGCAUUCGAAUGUACCAACACUAGUGGGCCAUUUUUGGUAAGCAGAACUGGCGAUGCGGGAUGAACCGAACGCGGGGUUAAGGCGCCAGAGUGUACGCUCAUCAGACACCACAAAAGGCGUUAGUACAUCUUGACAGCAGGACGGUGGCCAUGGAAGUCGGAAUCCGCUAAGGACUGUGUAACAACUCACCUGCCGAAUGUACUAGCCCUGAAAAUGGAUGGCGCUCAAGCGUACCGCCCAUACCCCGCCCUCAGGGUAGAAACGAUGCCCUGAGGAGUAGGCGGCCGUGGGGGUCAGUGACGAAGCCUAGGGCGUGAGCCCGG